AUAUUCAGUAGAUGUUGUGUUGACGGGGGCUGCAUGUGUAGUAUCUGUUUUUAUCAGUUUAAUAUUUGAUAUGUGGGCCAUGUGCCCACAACGAUAUUAAAUUUAUUUUUUAUGGGGGAGGGUCCACCACACUAGCUUGCUAGUGGGGCACCCGGUGUCGCCUAGGCGUUGUACUAUUGCCCAGGCCAGGCGCACCCCAA
rnacentral:snRNA from 2 species